rnacentral:lncRNA from 1 species
CCCUCUCUUUGUUGCAUGUAAGAAUUCAUGAAAAAAAUUCUUUCUCCAUGAGCUAUGUGGGCACAAAAAGAGAUAAUGUUUGGGUGGCAUCAUAUGCAAGAGUCCUAGGAUAGUUGGACUCUUAUCUCUUACCUAAAACCUAACUCUAUUCUAUUUAAACAUGAGAUAUGUGGGGUGGCAACCAACCUGAUUGAGAUCAGAUUUUGGAUGCCAAAAUUCAUGGAGGCGUGCAUGAAAAAUCCAAGGGGAGAAGGCACAGCAUGAAGGUCCAUGGCAUGAGGUUUGUUUGGGCAAUAACC